GUGAUUGUGAUGAUUAUAAUCAAUUACUCGUACUGAAUGCUAUUGGCUUUGAGUCAUGCAUGACAGACACUUUACACCCAUAGAAUAUGAGCAAUC